UAAUGUUACAUAGAAACAUAGAAACAUAGAAUGUGACGGCAGAUAAGAACCAUUCGGCCCAUCUAGUCUGCCCAAUUUUCUAAAAACUUUCAUUAGUCCCUAGCCUUAUCUUAUAGUUAGGAUAGCCUUAUGCCUAUCCCACGCAUGCUUAAACUCCUUUACUGUGUUAACCUCUACCACUUCAGAUGGAAGGCUAUUCCAUGCAUCCACUACCCUCUCAGUAAAGUAAUACUUCCUGAUAUUAUUUUUAAACCUUUGUCCCUCUAAUUUAAGACUAUGUCCUCUUGUUGUGGUAGUUUUUCUUCUUUUAAAUAUAGUCUCCUCCUUUACUGUGUUGAUUCCCUUUAUGUAUUUAAAUGUUUCUAUCAUAUCCCCC